GUGCUAAUGAUGAUAAAUUUAAUUAUCUUAGCGGAUUUCAGUGAGAUAAUAUAAAAUUGUCAAUGAUCUGAUUGUUACACACACUGAAGCCC